rnacentral:lncRNA from 10 species
GCGCCCGCUCGCGCCGGGAGGGGCCCUCGCGCCCCGCGCCCACAGGUGCACGCGCCCUUGGCGCCGCCUGCACCCCACGCGCCCCCUCCGCUCCCCGGCCGACGGCCCACCUGGGCUUCGUGAACAGUGGGAGGGAGAGUCUGGGGCCAGGAGAGGGACGGUGCAGGAUCAGGGAAAGAACCGUGUGCUAACUCCUCAUCAAAGACCAGAAGUAGAUCCUGAAUUGUAUUCAUUCUCAUCUCUUUCUACCUCCUCCAAGACAGAAGGACAUGAUUAACUUCUUUAUCUCAAUGUCAGCCUUCAAUAGCUACAAAAGUCUAAACUGUAAAUAGCGUUGAAGCUUUGCAUAAUAAAAUUCUUUUCCCCAGUGAUGGGCAGUUUUUCACAUAGUAACAUUCUUUUAAUCUUUUUUUCUUUUUAAUGAGUAGACAUAAAGAAAUGCUUAAAUAAAUAAUUAUCAACUAACUUACCUACAUUUAACUACACAUACCUAACAGACCUGAAUAUAGGCAGAGGAUGUGACAUUUUACUUACCCUUUUAUUAAAGUUACUGCUUCAUUUAUUGGUCUUUACUUCACUAGUGCAUCCAUAAAAUGUUUACAUUUUUUUAAACAAUAAAAUACUCUUGAAAUUAGUCCUUCUCUGUAAUCACUACAUAAAACUGCUUUAGAGACAGCCUUCAGAUCAACUAAAUUAUAUUUUACAAAAUGGCUUAGGUAUUUCAGUAGUAACUCUAUGGAACAACAGAAUUCACUGUUUAACCAGGGACCAAUAUUGGCAGCUGGCUUCCAUAACUUGUUUGAGGAAUGUAGUAAUUCCAAGGUUGCUGCAAGGACUAAUGUACAGGAAUAUUCCUGUAUUUUAUGGAAUAAAAAGGAAGAACGAGAGGAG